UAUACCGCCUGUCCGGCGUCGCGUCCAACGUCCAGCGCCUCCGCUGUGAAUUUGAGUCUGAGCACAUUCCGGAGCUGACCGUCCGCGACAUUCACAGCGUGAGCUCCCUCUGCAAGAUGUACUUCAGGGAGCUCCCGAACCCUCUGCUCACCCACCAGCUGUACGACAAGUUCUCGGCUGCUGUUUGUGCCGCCACAGAUGAGGAGCGGCUGGCCAGAAUGCGGGCCGUCAUCCAGCAGCUGCCCGCUCCUCACUACAGGUCAG